rnacentral:tRNA from 1 species
GCCUGGCUAGCUCAAUGGCUAGAGCGUUUGACUUUUAUGCACUUCCAUAAAGGUAUCAAAAGGUUGCGGGUUCGACCCCCGCGUCGGGCU